AUCCAGCUGACGAGUCCCAAAUUGGACGAAACGCGCAUCCUGGAU
rfam:Schistosoma curassoni strain Dakar, Senegal genome assembly, scaffold: SCTD_contig0003414